rfam:Schistosoma rodhaini strain Burundi genome assembly, scaffold: SROB_scaffold0000503
AUCCAGCUGACGAGUUCCAAAUAGGACGAAAUCCGUUUCCUGGCAU